rnacentral:rRNA from 1 species
CCUACGGGUGGCAGCAGUGAGGAAUAUUGGUCAAUGGGCGGAAGCCUGAACCAGCCAAGUAGCGUGCAGGAUGACGGCCCUACGGGUUGUAAACUGCUUUUAUACGGGAAUAACGCGCCUUACGUGUAGGGCUUUGCAUGUACCGUAUGAAUAAGGACCGGCUAAUUCCGUGCCAGCAGCCGCGGUAAUACGGAAGGUCCGGGCGUUAUCCGGAUUUAUGGGGUUUAAAGGGAGCGUAGGCCGCAUGUCAAGCGUGAUGUGAAAUGUCCGGGCUUAACCCGGGCAUUGCAGAGCGAACUGGGGAGCUUGAGUGCGCGGAAGGCAGGCGGAAUU